UGGGGAAUAUUGGACAAUGGGCGCAAGCCUGAUCCAGCCAUGCCGCGUGAGUGAUGAAGGCCCUAGGGUUGUAAAGCUCUUUCAGCGAGGAGGAUAAUGACGUUACUCGCAGAAGAAGCCCCGGCUAACUUCGUGCCAGCAGCCGCGGUAAUACGAAGGGGGCUAGCGUUGUUCGGGAUCACUGGGCGUAAAGCGCACGUAGGCGGACUUUUAAGUCAGGGGUGAAAUCCCGGGGCUCAACCUCGGAACUGCCUUUGAUACUGGAAGUCUGGAGUCCGAGAGAGGUGAGUGGAACUCCGAGUGUAGAGGUGAAAUUCGUAGAUAUUCGGAAGAACACCAGUGGCGAAGGCGGCUCACUGGCUCGGUACUGACGCUGAGGUGCGAAAAGCGUGGGGAGCAAACAGGAUUAGAUACCCUGGUAGUCCACGCCGUAAACGAUGGAAGCUAGCCGUCAGGGUGCAUGCAUCUUGGUGGCGCAGUUAACGCAUUAAGCUUCCCGCCUGGGGAGUACGGUCGCAAGAUUAAAACUCAAAGGAAUUGACGGGGUCAUAGCUGUUUCCU
rnacentral:rRNA from 1 species